CACGUAGGCACCAAGCGUUGUCCGGAUUUAUUGGGCGUAAAGAGCUCGUAGGCGGUUCAGUAAGUCGGGUGUGAAAUCCCCGGGCUCAACCUGGGACUUGCAGUUGAAACUGGUGAGCUAGAGUAGGGUAGAGGGGUGUGGAAUUCCAGGUGUAGCGGUGAAAUGCGUAGAUAUCUGGAGGAACAUCAGUGGCGAAGGCGGGUCUCUGGGCCGAUACUGACGCUGAGGAGCGAAAGCGUGGGGAGCGAACAGG
rnacentral:rRNA from 1 species